GGUUUCCUCCUUUGGGUGGGAGAGCCAAUUUCCAUUUGUUUGUUAUUUUGACAGUAGACAAACAAUAUACCAAUGUUUUUCUUUGACCAGGUAGAGUAUCCCAUAUCCCAGCUUAUUUCCAAGGUGUGUUUCAAAGUUCUUGCCCUGUCAAUGUCCUGGGAUAUGAUUAUUUGUAAUGUGCUCUGAUAUAAAUCAGUAUGGUUGGAUGGAGAUUGCUUUCAGUCCCAUUAGCAAGCUCACAAACAAUUUCAACAUUUUUUUUCUCUAUCUCUUUCAGUCCUAGCGAGCAUGACCUAGGUAACUUGCUGAGUUGUCCUAGCUAGCAGUUACAUGGCGUCCUGGGAGCCAGCCUAACUAUUAGCCUACUGGAAGAGAUCCAGCAUGUUCCAGGACUGAGGAUUGUUGACGACAGCUGCACUACUCUGAACAGGACUGGAAAUCUAAAUCAGAUGGAGAACGACAUUCCUGGAUUGGUGCCAUGAUCAGAAUUAAAAGUGUUGUGUGGCCAUAGGCACAGUGAGCCAAGCCACUGCAAAGUUGGAAAGGAACACAAAUGGGAUUGCCACCUGCCUGCCUGAAUUUUGUUUGCUGUUAGCAGCAGUUUUCUUGCUUUCUUUUUAGAAGUUUAGAGCAAUUAAAGCUUUUGGCAAUUAGAUGAAUGAUUUACUUUAACAAUAUAUGCACAGUAAAUGACUUCAGACUAUGUGCUGACAAAUGCAUUAAUUGAGGACAGGGGAAAAAUACUGUAUAAAAACACAAAUGAGUAUUUUGAAUACUUACAUUUCUGUGCCUAGUGGAAAACUUUCAGAAGAGAAUUUGGUGAAAACAGAAAAGAAACAUUGCACAUCUCUCCUCAAAUGUGAGGUGGAAAUCUUACAACUGCUUGUUGGCUUGUUGUAUUAUAGGUCACAGCAUCCUGUGGGCUUCCCUGAAAAAGCCUAUUAGAUUUUAUACUACUUGAUAUUGCCCUGUGGAUAGUGUUGAAUGAGAUUCAUGUAUGAUAACAUAAUUGCCACAACUUACCUACUUGCUUCUAAUGUAGAGGAGUAAAUUCAUAAUGGUGGAUUUUGUGUGAUCAUGUCACCAUGUGUGUAGUCAUUUCCAAGGUCCCUUUCAAUUCUGUUAAUGUUACUGUUACGUAGGAAUUCAGUCCAAAGAGAACAUGGUCCUCAACAGCUGCUUAAAAAUGUGUCAUGCCCCCUCAGAGCCUGAAUCUGCAGAAGAAGAUGAGCCAGAACUGGAGCAGAUGGAGAUCAAAGGGGCAGCUUUGUGGGUGUCAGAGGAAUAUGGGGAGGAGCAGGCCAAGUCAGGCUAGGGCCUUUCAGGAUUGGGACACCUUGUAGGCAGGGAAGAAUGGGGGUAGGAUGACCAAGAGAGGCUAAGCAGUGAACAUGAGAGACAGAGUUCAGGCAAUGAGCAAGGACCACCCCCUCCUGAUCCUCAAGCAUGGAGAGUGGAGAGAAAGUGGGAACAGUGCAGGCUUACCCAACUACUCUGGAGGAGAGUGCCUACCCCACUCCAUGUGGGGAUUGAGAUUUAAGGAGACGCUGUGGGGAGGGGCAUUUGUCAGAAACAAACACUGAGUAUUGUGUGCCAUUGCCAAUGUUGGAUGUUUCCUGGACUUCUUGUUUUAUUUCUUGCUUCCUGGAUUAAUUGCUUUGUUCCUUUGCUUCCUGGACUAACUGACUUAUUCCCUUGCUUUGCUGGGUUUCUUGUUUUGCAGCCAUUGUGCUCAAAGCAUUGUGCUGGACUUGCAGCCAAAGGCUGCUGGAGAGGUGUGUGUGUGUUAUCACUUUGCUCUGGGACUUGUCACAAUUGUGGGAGCAUUUGGGGAACAUUUUGAACAAUAAAGGGGCAGUUUGAACUGUCAGCUCUCGCCUCUGUGCCAUGUCCCAGGUCAUCAUCAUAAUUAUAAACUGUCUCCAUUUUAUCUCAUCCAAAAUGAAUGAAGGAAGCUAUGAGUGUUUGAGACUUUUUCACUUGGUUCCUUUCAAGAAGCUUUAAGAAUUUGAGGGAUAAUUCUUGAUUAAGGAAAGUGUCAGGUCCACCAUCCUGUCCUGCCAUUCUGUUGGAAGGAGGGGGGAGGAGGUUCGCUGGCAUUUUCACAUGCUUUGAUUGUAACUGAGAAUUAGGGAGGGAGACUGUCU